rnacentral:rRNA from 1 species
UACGGAGGAUGCAAGCGUUAUCCGGAUUCAUUGGGUUUAAAGGGCGCGUAGGCGGGAUGAUAAGUCAGUGGUGAAAUCCUACAGCUUAACUGUAGAACUGCCAUUGAUACUGUUGUCCUUGAGUCCAGUUGAGGUGGGCGGAAUGUAUAAUGUAGCGGUGAAAUGCUUAGAUAUUAUACAGAACACCAAUUGCGAAGGCAGCUCACUAAGCUGGUACUGACGCUGAGGCACGAAAGCGUGGGGAGCGAACAGG